UACGUAGGGUGCAAGCGUUAAUCGGAAUCACUGGGCGUAAAGGGUGCGUAGGCGGGUCUUUUAAGUCAGGGGUGAAAUCCUGGAGCUCAACUCCAGAACUGCCUUUGAUACUGAGAUCUUGAGUUCGGGAGAGGUGAGUGGAACUGCGAGUGUAGAGGUGAAAUUCGUAGAUAUUCGCAAGAACACCAGUGGCGAAGGCGGCUCACUGGCCCGAGUACUGACGCUGAGGCACGAAAGCGUGGGGAGCAAACA
rnacentral:rRNA from 1 species